GCCUUGCACAAACCAGAAAAUUCAAGUGGUCCGACGGACCAGUGCAUUUUAAAAUUAGGUGGUCCUUGCCAAAAUCAGGUGGUCUCGGACCAACGGACCACCGCUAAUGUCGAGGCCUGUAUUGUAUUCAAACUUAGUGUAUAGCAAGCUUAUAUGAAGACCCCGGUGGUAUUGGAUUUGGACCCCCUGAAAAUUGUGUCUCUUUAAUUACUUUUAUAUGUAUAACUAAUAUUCAUAACAUUAAAAUUUCAGUCUCAAAGGGCAGUAAAAAGUAGAUUACAAGAGAUGGAAAAAGAAGCUGCUAAAAAGCAAGAGAAGCGAAAAGAGGCAAAUGUUAAACUUGAAAAACAACAGCAGAAAGAAAAAGAAAAAUUAAUUAAGGUUAAACAAAGGAGAGAGAUAUAUGCGUUGAACAAAGUUAUGACAGAUCUUGAAAAUAAACGAUUCAUGGACUUUUGUCAAGGAAAAGGAUUGAAUGAAUUAUAGCAUUUAAUUAAAAUUAUUAAGUGUG